CGGGGCGCCUUCGCGGGGCGCAGCAGCCCGUCUCCAGCGUCCCGCUCCCGCCGCCCCCGGGCGGGGCCCGGCGCCCGCUGCGCACGUGCGGCCCUCCAGCUAUUGCAGAUGGCUUUGUUUUAAAGAAUCCAAGAAAAUGCAUUUUUCCUGAUACAAACUCUAAGAGAGAACUUCACAUAAACAACGUGAGCCGAGAUGUCAGAUAUGAACUGUGUGUUGAAUCAAGAUUCUGCCUUUCAAAAGCUGUGAGACUUUGGACAAAGCACUUAAUCUUUUUGAGCCUCAGUUUUUUCAUGGACAAGUAGACCUAUAUAUCUGAUAAAUACCCAGAAGUGGAAUUACUGUGUUGCAGAAGACCAGAGAAAAACCAAGCGAUGCUUUAGAGAAAAGGAGUUACACUGUUUAUUUACGCCGGCGGACUCAGCAGAAUAAUUUUCCGAAUCUGAGUAAAAUAACAUGCAGGGAGCUUCUCUUUUAUAUCUUUCUGGUGUCUUUGUCCCACAAAUAUGGAUUAUGCUUCUGGUCCUUUUUGCGGGCUUUGCAAGAAGAUCCCCAGGUGUUGGGGGUCUCCAGGCCAUAUCUGAUGGUCUGGCCUGGUGCCAGUGUUAGUAACUCCCCCUCCGGGCAUUGCACUGUUCACAGUUUUAUGGCCUCUGUAUUUAGAUAACAGGUUCUUCAAGACCAGUUUCUGGGAAAGAGGUAGUGACUUAAUUAUAGGUUAUCAAGAAUGUACACUGGGCUUGCUGGCACAGAUUCAGAUUGCUAGCCUCCCCACCACCACCCCCAAAUAUCAGGGUUACAUUGGAAUUAGCCUUUUAGCCUCCUCAACUGGAUCACAUAUUAGGUCUAUUCUUAAUUUUUUGAGCAAUCUCCAUACUGUUUUCCAUAUUGGCUAUACCAAUUUACACUCCCACCAACAGUAUAUGAUGGUUCCCUUUUCUCUGCAUCUUCUCAAAUAUUAGUUAUUUCUUAUAUUUUUAUGACACCCAUCUAAGAGGUGUGAGAUGAUAUCUCAUGGUAAUUUUGAUUUGCAUUUCCCUAAUAAUUAAUGAUGUUGAACACCUUUUCAUGUGCCUUCUAUAACAUAUUUUUAACGGCUACAUGUACCAUGAUUUAACCAAUCUGCCACUGUUAAACAGUUAGAUCAUUUCCAAGUUUUAGUGUUAUAAACAAUGCUGUGUGGACAUCUUUUUAGCUGAACCUGAUAGAUCAGAUGUGGACUCUGUGAGAGAAAGAAAGAAGUCAAGGAUGAUACCACGGUUUUCCCAAAGUAUUGCAAGAAUAAAGUUGCCAUUAACUGAGAAGGAAAAGACUCAAGUAAGAAUAAUUCUGGGUGGAAAAUUAGGAGUUUGAUUUUGGUGGUCAUAUUAAGUUUGGGAAGCCAUUCAAGCUUGGGAAGACAUCCCAAGUGGAGAUGUCAAGUAGGUAGUUGGAUUGAAAAGACAGACUGGAAUUUAGGAGAGCAGUUAAGGCUGUAAAUAUAUUUUUGGAUCAUUAGCACAGUGAUGUUGAGUGAGGGAGGGGCAAAAUAUAUGAAGACUUAGCUCUGGGUCCACCAAUAUAAAGUCAGGAAGAUGAGGAGGAUCCAACAAAGGGUACUAAGGCAGUAAAAUAAGAGAAUUCACUGUUCCAGAAACCAAGUAAAUGAAGUAAUUCUUGAAGGAAGACACUGAGAGUGUGGGCUAAUAAAGUGUGGGCUGAAAACUGCCCAUGAGAUUUGGUGACAUGAUGCCUUGUUUAUUCUCCCUCCCAACUAGAAUAUAAAAUCCAUGAGGUCAGGACUUGGUCUACUUCGAUUAUUAAUCCCAGUUCCUAGAACAGUC